CUCUUGAGUGCCAUAUGGAGGA
rnacentral:miRNA from 1 species